ACCCAGCUGACGAGUCCUAAAUAGGACGAAACGCGCGUCCUGGAU
rfam:Schistosoma mansoni strain Puerto Rico chromosome 6, complete genome